AUUAAUUGGACUUUUAGUUUAUGUAUUGGAAUUUUAGUUUAUAAAUUGAAAUUUUAGGAUAUGACUUGAAUUUUUGUGGAUAUGAGUUGAACCUUUAGGAUAUGAAUUGAAACAUUAGGAUAUGAAUUGAAAUUUUUGGUUUAUGUAUUGGAAUUUUAGUUUAUAAUUGAAAUUUUAGGAUAUGAAUUGAACUUUUGUGGAUAUGAGUUGAACCUUUAGGAUAUGAAUUGAAAUUUUGGUUUAUGUAUUGGAAUUUUAGUUUAUAAACUGAAAUUUUAGGAUAUGACUUGAACUUUUGUGGAUAUGAGUUGAACUUUUAGGAUAUGAAUUGAACCUUUAGGAUAUGAAUUAAAAUUCAUCGUCC
rnacentral:lncRNA from 1 species